rnacentral:SRP_RNA from 1 species
UGUGCCGGGGUAAGUCUUAUACGACCAGCUCCCUUCAACCCUCCAGAUGCGGAAGCAAGCAAAGGUACCAGGUUGAGCGGUGCGAUGUAAGUAGCUUACCCCUUC